rnacentral:rRNA from 1 species
UAGCGUAUAUUAAAGUUGUUGCAGUUAAAAAGCUCGUAGUUGAACUUCGGAACCGGUCGAUUGGUCCGUCCUCUGGAUUGUGUACUGAUCGAUCUGUUCUUCUUCGCGAAGACCGGGUGUGCCCUUAACUGGGUGUGCACGGGAUUCACGACGUUUACUUUGAAAAAAUUAGAGUGUUCAAAGCAGGCAUUCGCUUGAAUGUCUCAGCACGGAAUAAUAGAAUAGGACUUUGGUCUUAUUUUGUUGGUUUCCGAGACCGAAGUAAUGAUUAAUAGGGACAGUUGGGGGCAUUCGUAUUUCAUUGUCAGAGGUGAAAUUCUUGGAUUUAUGAAAGACGAACUUCUGCGAAAGCAUUUGCCAAGGAUGUUUUCAUUAAUCAAGAACGAAAGUUGGAGGCUCGAAGACGAUCAGAUACCGUCCUAGUUCCAACCAUAAACGAUGCCGUCUGCGGAUCAGCGGUCGCUCAUUUAAGGCUCCGUUGGCACGCUAUGAGAAAUCAAAGACUUCGGGUUCCGGGGGGAGUAUGUUCGCAAGAAUGAAAC